rnacentral:rRNA from 1 species
CACGGGGUUGCGAGCGUUGUCCGGAAUUACUAGGCGUAAAGGGCAGGCAGGCGGAUCCAUAAGUUUAUCGUUUAAGGCGUCGGCUUAACCGGCGUAGGGCGGUAGAUACUGUGGAUCUGGAAUGCGGUUGGGGAAGACAGAAUUCCUGGUGUAGCGGUGGAAUGCGCAGAGAUCAGGAGGAAUACCGAAGGCGAAGGCAGUCUUCCAAGCCGUUAUUGACGCUCAACUGCGAAGGUGUGGGUAUCAAACAGGAUUAGAUACCCUGGUAGUCCAU